rnacentral:rRNA from 1 species
UACGUAGGGUGCGAGCGUUAAUCGGAAUUACUGGGCGUAAAGGGUGCGCAGGCGGUUUUGUAAGUCAGAUGUGAAAUCCCCGGGCUUAACCUGGGAAUGGCGUUUGAAACUGCAAGGCUAGAGUGUAGCAGAGGGGAGUGGAAUUCCGCGUGUAGCAGUGAAAUGCGUAGAUAUGCGGAGGAACACCGAUGGCGAAGGCAGCUCCCUGGGCUAACACUGACGCUCAUGCACGAAAGCGUGGGGAGCAAACAGGAUUAGAUACCCUGGUAGUCCACGCCCUAAACGAUGUCAACUAGUUGUCGGGCCUAAUUGAGGGUUUGGUAACGUAGCUAACGCGUGAAGUUGGCCGCCUGGGGAGUACGAUCGCAAGAUUAAAACUCAAAG